CAUUCAUAGGUUAAUUUCCAAUUGCCAUGUCUUAGAAGAUUUGGCUUUCAUUGAAUGUUUUGUUGAGAAUGCAAGGGAGCUCCAUAUCCAAAUUCCUUCGCUUAAGAGCUUGGUUUUACAUUUUAUUGCGAGACAAGACCGAGAUUUAAACUAUGCGGUGGUGAUUGAUGUUCCAAAUCUUGUUUAUUUUCGAUAUAAUGCGGCAAUAGUUGAAUGUUACAGUCAUAUGAAGUCCCUAGAAAAAGCCGAUAUUUGCAUCUAUGGCUUUCAUUCCAAUUUAAGCAUUGAUGCAACUCAUCUUAUUCAAGGAAUUUGCAAUGUACGGUAUCUAAGUUUAAACAUUCAUGAAGUGAUUUCCGGAACAAGUCGACUUCCUAUAUUUCACAACCUUAUUGAAUUCAAAUUUUGUGGGAGAGAAACUUCGCUUGUGCAGUUUCUACAUUGUGCGUCUAAUCUAAAGACCCUUAUCAUCAAAUUUCUGGAAUGACCGAAGCCAUAGAGGUGGCUUUGUCCAAGGCUAUCUCUAUCAUCGAACACCUCUCCAAUCCAGUUGAUACUUUAAAGUUUUAGUCAUCCUUGAUGAAACCAAUGCUGUUUUGUGGGGGCAACAAAUUAUUAUUAGCUUGUAUUCAGCUUUUUGAAGAACCUGAGAAGUUGACUUAGGAACUAAUAUGGACUGGUUGAACCAACAAAUGGUUGAAAUGGAAUUUUUAUUUUGAAAACUUUGGUCAAAACCUUACUAGUUCAAACAGUUGUUUUAGGUUCUGUAAACUGAUUCGUUGUUCGAUUUGUAUCCGAAAAUCUGCCUAUUCUUAUAAUGUCUCGUUAUAGUUUUAGUCCAAUGAACAUAUAGUUGAUAAAUCUUUUGUUUUUAUACCAUGUUUAAGCACAAACGUUGCUGACAUGGAUCACGUUUUUGUUUGAAGUUGUUUGA